rnacentral:rRNA from 1 species
CGGGAAACCGGGGCUAAUACCGAAUAAUCUCUUUUGCUUCAUGGUGAAAGACUGAAAGACGGCAUCUCGCUGUCGCUAUAGGAUGGGCCCGCGGCGCAUUAGCUAGUUGGUGAGGUAACGGCUCACCAAGGCGACGAUGCGUAGCCGACCUGAGAGGGUGAUCGGCCACACUGGGACUGAGACACGGCCCAGACUCCUACGGGAGGCAGCAGUAGGGAAUCUUCCACAAUGGGCGAAAGCCUGAUGGAGCAACGCCGCGUGAGUGAAGAAGGUUUUCGGAUCGUAAAACUCUGUUGUAAGG